CGGACGGGUGAGGAAUACAUCGGAAUCUACUCUGUCGUGGGGGAUAACGUAGGGAAACUUACGCUAAUACCGCAUACGACCUACGGGUGAAAGCAGGGGAUCUUCGGACCUUGCGCGAUUGAAUGAGCCGAUGUCGGAUUAGCUAGUUGGCGGGGUAAAGGCCCACCAAGGCGACGAUCCGUAGCUGGUCUGAGAGGAUGAUCAGUCACACUGGAACUGAGACACGGUCCAGACUCCUACGGGAGGCAGCAGCC
rnacentral:rRNA from 1 species